CUUUAGACUCUUAGCUGAAGAAGUGUCUUUAGAAUAAAUCUCUUGACACAAACUAAAAACUAAAACCAGAUAUGAUUUUCUUUAGUAAAACUAAUUGAAAAAAAAUUGUAAACUUAAAAAAACCCCCCAAAAUAUAGAGGGGAAUAUCCUCAGUUUUAGUGUUGGUAAAAAUAAUUAUUGAGAGAUGUGCUUAUUGAGACUCUGGAUGUCUAUAAUACUAUGAAACAUUAGAUAACUGCUUUCAAAAAGUUGUUUCUUAUCGUAAUACCUGUACUAAUAUUCCUCAAUCUUUGAUUCCUAAACAAUAAAAACUAAAAAAAAAAUAAAAUAAACUUUUAAAAGUGAAAAUAAUAAAAAGAAACUAAUUAGAAAAUACAAAACUAUAAUAAUUCUGUUUAGCAGAUCAUUUUGACCAUGCAUACAUUCCACCAAUUCACUGUAUUGCUGCCAUGCGAUUGGCAGAUUUGAUAUUUACCUAAUAAAGUGGCUGGUGAGUGUAAAAAUGAAAAAGAUGCACAUCAGAAGCAAAGUAAGUGAAAUCAAGCAAGAACUAAUAUAAUGAAUACAAUUUAAUAAACUGUUACAAUCUUUGGCAUAUCCACAGCAACAUUAAUUAUGUAAUAUAUUCUUUAAUACUGAGCACAAGCAGCAGCUCAAUAAAGCCAUGAGAACAAGCAAAGUAAAAUACAAAAAUAUUUUUUAGUCGGUCUCAUGAUAUAAUGUGUUGAUACUUGUAUCAGACAUAUUGAGAAACAUAUUUCUUAACCAUUCUAACAGUCGCUCUUGAAGUAAAACAAUAAUUGCUAUUUUUAAUGACUUGCCAUUGUCUUCUCGGUGGUUUUGGUCACGAUUACAGUUUGACAAGGUGUUUGCUAAUCCCUCAGUAGGUUUAUUGUGUAAACUUGACUGAAUAGCUUGAGUCAUAACAACAGUUCAUUUCCUGAAACACAAGAAGUCAGACAUUUAGAAACCUGAUUUGUAAUCUUUCCAUUACGUUAAUAUUUCAGUCUAAGAAAAUGUAUUAAUCUGAUGGAGGUGAUAAAAGAAGUGCAACAUAUUCACAUGAUAAAGUUAAUGAUGAUAUUUUAGAAAAAAACAACAAGAACAACUUAAUUCCAGUCAUAAUGAAUGACCUUUAAUAUUCUACACACGUCAUGUUCUCAACAAAUAAAGACAAAAAUUAUUGUCUCAUAAGCAAUAGUUAUCAUAUUUCAGUUUAAUUUCAUAAUUUGCUUAGGGAUUAAAAAGUAUUCUUAUUCGGAUUGUUUACCAUUCAUUUAUUUUUUCAUUUACAUACUGAACAAGUAGAUUUUAAUUCACAGCAUACCUUUUUAAACAUGCUUGAGUCCAUACUGUACUGCUCUAAUUUCAAACAACCUCUGAAUAUAGUUUGGCAGUAGAUUACUCUGUGCUUUUCUUCAUUUUUAAUGCUAUUUUCAGCACAAAAAUGUGCAAUUUUAGGGUGAGCUAUUUAAUUACUGACUGACAGUUUGGCUGCUAAUAAUCUGAUACAGUUAUAAUUCAUAUAUCAUGUUUUUGGGGGGUUUUAAAUUUUUUUUUUUUCUGUCUGGGUGCUGACAGGAUCAUUAUGUGGUUUGUCUCUAAUCAUUAGUCACACCUUGUGGAGGUGGAACAUUUCUUAACAAAGGUGCUCUGGUAGGUGUAUAUAAGAAGAGCUCAACUUUCCGAGUAUCACUACAACAACUUCUUUCACUCUGAGACAGACUGCUGCAGCUUUGAAGACUAGACGUACGAACACUGAAACCAUGCUGAAGGUAGCAUUUGUGCUUGGAUGCCUCCUGAGCCUCACUCUGACUCAACCUUUGGGUAUGGCGCGCAAAAGACUUGUGCGCUCAAGCUCCGAAUCUAACUCUGGAUCAGGGGAAGCCAAUCAACAGUUAAACAAUCAACAGCUGCAGCUACUCAUACAAUUACUACUUGCCAGCUUAGCAACAACAACCACUACUACAGCUGCAACCACCACAACAGCUGCAACCACCCCUGCUCCGGCUACAACUGGUUAAAAACUGACAUUUAGCUAUUGAAUGAAAGUCAGCAUACAGUGAAACUGUCAAUUUGUGAUAUUUUAAUGAGAAUACAUAGUAGUGUCUACUAAAUAAAAUUUAUGAAUAGAAAAUGUGUGUUUUUCUGUUUGUAAGAAAUACAAGUACCUCAGCUUACCAUUAUAUUCCCCUUUCAAUACAGAGUUUACAUCACACUAUAUGUAAUUAAAGCAGCUAUUUAGGUGCUUACUAACGAACACUGUUGAUCUAAAAUAGAGUUUAAAUUAUGGUACAUCAAGAAUAUUACAUAA